CAGAUAGGAGACAGUUGUAGCAAACCAAAUGAGAAAGCACAAGGACCAGACUGGGUUCUCAACCUAAAUGCUCACAGAGGCCAAGCAGGGGCCAUAAGUGAAUAAAUCCCGCCAGGUGGGAACUGGCCGCAGAACCUGGAGAGCGCACGCCCUGUUGUCCAGGACUGCUGCAACGUCAGCCUGAAGAGCUUCCUCUAAAAUUCUAGGGAGAACAGACUGUCAGUCCACUAGCUCCUGGCUUGCAUAGUUUUGGAUGGGAAGUCACACGUCCUUCUUCUCGGGCUUUCUGUAUGGACCGUGGUUUUUCCUCAGCUGCUAAUAGAAGUGAUAAGCGGGUGGAGAAGGACAGCCACAGAGAAGAUGUGCGAUACCACUGUGGGCUGGCCUGGACCUGAGACCGUGCAUGUGCAGUGGCGGCAAUCCAUGGCACGCUGAGGCAAGCUCGGCAGGUGAGUGGGGCUGGAGAUGGUAAACAAAUAAAUGCCCCUGGUGGGCACAGAACAGUGGGAAGAGUGGAGGGAGUGGCGGCCACAGAAACGAGGCUGCAGAAGGACGGACGGAGGGAAGGCCAGACACAAUGGCGCUCACGGAGGGAAAGCAGAGAGAGUAAGGGAUGAGAGGGCUAUAGGAUUUCGAGAGCAGUGUGGCGGGAGUAACAGGAAAUGUUGGAUGCUUAGGACAUUCUGAAUGGAAGGGACAUUUGCAUGUCCUCUUUCUCAGGUGGAGCAUGAGAUCCGAGUGUGGUCAGGGGAGGAGGUGGCACAAAUGGAGUAGGGAUGGAAAUUUCCAGAGAUAAGGAGGAAUAAAAACCUGAGUGACUAUGAAUUUGGAUGAGACGUCCCCUGGAACGCUGAAUGUUGCUAAGUCUUGGUGUGACGAGGAAUACAGUGAACUCAGUGCUAGAAUCCUUGACAAAGGAGACAGGCUGAAGGACAGUCGGUGACACAGGGCAGGGACGUUGGAAGUGGGACAGUGCAGAGCCUGCUUCUCCAGGGAGCAUGGUUUUUGCAUGAGAGUGAAGACAUCAGGAUGCACGGUCAAAGUCCAGCCCCGGCCUGAGCCCAUGCGAUGGGAGCACGGCUGCCCAAUACAGCCGUAGAGGCUGUGCUAUGUGAGCAGCUCCAUAUUCAGGCAGGGGGCCACUCAUCCUGUAGACUCCUAUCGCCAUGAUUUCCCACAGGUGGAAGUCACUUGUCUUAAAGAAAACGUGCCUUUCUCUGAUUUGCACAAAAGCACUGUGUAGGUGGUUGGUCCCUUGGGUGGGGACCUGAGCGCCUCCCUCUGACGUGGAUGCAAGGGAAGCAUCUCAGGGAAGAUGCAGGCUUCCACGAGGGCAAGGAGGGGUGGGAGGCUUAGGGAUGGCAAGGAAGAGGAGCAGCCUCUCUGGCGUGGAUCAGGUGGUUUCAGCGGGAAUCCUGGAAGGGGCAGGAUGGGGGCAGUGGGAAGGUGGGUCAGGUGGAGGAAGCAGAGAGGAGAGUGUGGAUGGGGAUCCAGGAGAGAAUGGAUAACGCAGGGCCCUCACGUCUCAGUGGUGACUAAGGGUGACAGGGGCGUGGCAUGGGGAAAGUCGACUUUUCAAGGUUUUCAAAGAUGGGGGCCCUAUGGUUGUUCAGUGGGUAGAUAGUCAGGGAUCCAGUCUGGAGGGGCUAGAGCUGGGUCCGGCAGAAGCCUGCUCUCUGGGCCCUGAGGACCCAGGGUUUUGGAUUCCAUGCAUCUUUGAGUCCUUGGCUGCUCAACCCAUGACUUACAGACUGGCGAGCUCCCAUAAGUCCUCCGGAGGGGGAGA